rnacentral:rRNA from 1 species
AUUGAACGCUGGCGGCAGGCCUAACACAUGCAAGUCGAACGAGUGGCGGACGGGUGAGUAAUGUCUGGGAAACUGCCCGAUGGAGGGGGAUAACUACUGGAAACGGUAGCUAAUACCGCAUACCAUCGGAUGUGCCCAGAUGGGAUUAGCUUGUGGGUGGGGUAACGGCUCACCUAGGCGACGAUCCCUAGCUGGUCUGAGAGGAUGACCAGCCACACUGGAACUGAGACACGGUCCAGACUCCUACGGGAGGCAGCAGGAGGGAAUAUUCCACAAUGGGCGAAAGCCUGACGGAGCAACGCCGCGUGAGUGAAGAAGGCCUUCGGGUUGUAAAGCACUGUCAGCGGGGAGGCGGUACCCGAAGAGAAAGCACCGGCUAACUACGUGCCAGCAGCCGCGGUAAUUC